GACGAACGCUGGCGGCGUGCUUAACACAUGCGAGUCGAACGGAAAGGCCCUGCUUUUGUGGGGUGCUCGAGUGGCGAACGGGUGAGUAACACGUGAGUAACCUGCCCUUGACUUUGGGAUAACUUCAGGAAACUGGGGCUAAUACCGGAUAGGAGCUCCUGCUGCAUGGUGGGGGUUGGAAAGUUUCGGCGGUUGGGGAUGGACUCGCGGCUUAUCAGCUUGUUGGUGGGGUAGUGGCUUACCAAGGCUUUGACGGGUAGCCGGCCUGAGAGGGUGACCGGCCACAUUGGGACUGAGAUACGGCCCAGACUCCUACGGGAGGCAGCCGUGGGGAAUAUUGCACAAUGGGCGGAAGCCUGAUGCAGCAACGCCGCGUGCGGGAUGACGGCCUUCGGGUUGUAAACCGCUUUCGCCUGUGACGAAGCGUGAGUGACGGUAAUGGGUAAAGAAGCACCGGCUAACUACGUG
rnacentral:rRNA from 1 species